UUCAUGUAGGGGAUCGGUGCUGAGACUUGGAAGGAGCAACAGUGAGAGAGAAACAACUGAUGAGACAGAAAGAGCAAAGGUUUUGCAGGGCAGACUGCACACAGAGAUAGGCACCUCCUGCUCCCCAUCUGGCCACUGAAGCUCCUCUAGCUGGGAGACAGAUGACACAGCACAGGAAGAGAAGCUCUGUGACUCCGGCGCAGUGGGGAGAUCAACAAAGGAAGCUUACACUCCUUCGCUCUCAAACAUACAUUAGCAGUGGAACAUACACAGGAUAAUGUGUGUGGUUCCAGUCUAAAUGCAAUAAGGGGCAGUGAGAUAUGCCUGACGGAGCCACAGCAGAACAACCUUGCCUGUAAGAAGGUUUGAGAAUAUAAUAGAAACACAGGAAGAGGGAGAGAAGAUAGAGAAGAAGGAGGUCUUAUUUUUGGCUCCUUCUUUGUCAGUGUCACAUGGAGGUAAAUG